UACAGAGGUCCCGAGCGUUGUUCGGAUUCACUGGGCGUAAAGGGUGCGUAGGUGGCGUGGUAAGUUUGAUGUGAAAGCUCAGGGCUUAACCCUGAAAUGGCAUUGAAUACUACUAUGCUGGAGGUUUGGAGGGGGGACUGGAAUUCUUGGUGUAGCAGUGAAAUGCGUAGAUAUCAAGAGGAACACCAGUGGCGAAGGCGAGUCCCUGGACAACACCUGACACUGAGGCACGAAAGCUAGGGGAGCAAACGGG
rnacentral:rRNA from 1 species